GGGGACGAAGGUGUGGGGAAAAGCUCCCUGCCCUCCAGAGCGAGCCCAUCUCCUGCUGGGCAUGGGGGUAUGGGGAAAGGGAAGGGAAAGCAAAAACCUUCCUCCUGUAGGAAGGGCAGACCUUCAGUCUUUGACGCUGGGCCUCUGCCACCCCUCUCCAGGACAAACAGGCCGUCCUCGAGGCUGAGGCUACCAUGAUGGCUGUCCUCCUGCAAGAGGAGCUGCACCGAGAGCACGUUUGGGAGCAGCUCCUCUGGCUCGUGCGCCUGUAUCAGAAGGUCCAAGACACCUGCAGGGGGACCAAGGUGAGAUGUUGUGCAGGGCUCAGCAUGGACGUGGGGCUCGUGCAAGUGCCACGAGGGGUCAGUGGGAUGCAGGGGGGAGUCCGGGAGCCCUUGGAGAAAGAAGGAAUAGGUGUCCAAGGGAGGUCUGAGGCUUCCUGAGCUCUUCCGUCAAGGAAGGAACAACCCAGACAGGAGCCAGAAGGGAGCCAGGAGUCACUGGGGCCCAUCCCCUGGGGCUGGAAGGCUUCACCACCACCGCCACAGUGGUGCUCUGGGUGCCUGAGGAGCUCUGUGCUAAAGGCCAGGGAGACCACGUCCAGUUACAUCUGAUGCGGGAAAAGAGGGCUGCUGGGUGGGAAAUGCCUGCAACCGAUGCCCAAACAGGGCUCGGCUGAGAGCAGAGGGACUCUCUUGGUGCUGCUGGGAGGCGGGGACAAACCAGAAUGCCUGUGCGGGAGCUCUCCCAGCAGACAGGCCGUUGGGAAUCGGUAUCUCUGCUCCCAGGUGGCUAGAUGUGGCUUCAGCCCUUUCUUCCUCUCCUGGUCUCUUGCAGAGCCUCAGUAUCUUCCUGGAGGCCUUAGAGGGAGUUCAAUCGGUCAUCCCCAAGGACAAGUUUCUGGCCAUCACCAGUGCUGUGUUCUACCAGGUAAGGGGAGCCUAUCCUUGCACCCAAAGCAGUUUCCCUCUUGCCUAAGUCUCAGGAGGACUCAAAGCUCCAAGCCUCUGAUGGCUGCUCAGCCUUAGCCCCUGCAUGCCCGUGGCUGCUCCAGAGCCGUGUGUGUGCCCCCAGGGAUGCUGUGGGGCAGGCUGUGUUUUGUCUGCAUGUCCUCUUACUGAGUGUGCCAAGGGAGACGAGAGCUGGCAGCACGGUUGCUUUUCCAUCCUCAAUACCGAUACAAUUUUCUCCAAUGGACCUUGUUCCCACAGCUCUCUGAUGACACCAAGGAGCACAGCGAGGCUGACAGAGCAGAGCUGACCCACUGCAUCCUGCUGCAGGGUAAGGAGAGGAGCUCUGGCAGUGCUUGGCGGUGCCCUGGCCAAAACCUCUCUCACAAACCUCCGGAAUGCGUGCGAGUUUCUUGCUAAUACAGCGCGGGAUUUCCUCUCCGCAGCCCGGAUCUGCCCCGAGGAAACGGUCCUGUUUCUGCAGUCUCAGCUGGGCGCUGACAGGGAGGCUGGAUGCGUGGCAGCCCUGGGUCUGCUCGGUGCUCUGGCUCGCUCUGAUGGUCAGUAGGGCCAGAGGGUUGGGACUUCCAGGGAUCCCUUUUGCCAUCUCGGUUGUGCCUCCAUGCAUGCUUCUGUGCAUCUCUUGCAGAGCCCGUGAUGUCAGAGAAGCUGCCCCAGGUUGUGGAGGCUGUACAGUGUCUGUGCAGCGACCCCAGGACCCAGGUGAGCUGAUCUGGGAAAGGAAAGUGCUGUCGGGGUGGUGAUGCUGCUGCCAACACAGGCAGGGCUGGGGUGCCCAGGGAGGUGCUUGGGGCAGUGACCACAUAGUUGCGAUGGCUCUUGUGGGGAGAGCAGGCAGGGCGGAGCAGUCAGGCCCCUGUGCUGUGCAUGGAAAGUGCACAGCCUGGUGCUAAGGCCUGGCCCUCACCUGAGGAGCCAAGGAUUCUCGUCUGCUCUUGUUGUCUCUGCUCAUGCCCGAAGGGCUUCCCCAAUGAGCAGGUGGCUUCCCUUUGCCUUCUGAGCAGGAAAAUCAAACCCACAAUUGACUCCUGACAGGUGAGGAGGGCCAUUCUGCACUUCAUCGAGGAUGUGCUCAGUGCCAACGCCCGGAGCUGCUCAGCCUGGGAUGUGGUGGGGCACAUCUUCAGUGAGUUCAGCCGCUCCACGGGAAGAAGGGUAAGGACAGUGGGCAGCGUCUUCCCUUGGAGGACCCCACUGGUGGGGCCACACCUGAGCCUCCUGAGAGGCUCCUGAGAACUAAGAGUAACCGGUGUUCUGACAACACUGUUGUGCAGGCAGCUGGAGACCUUUCUGCCCAGGAAGCCCGGGAAGAAGGAGCUCUCCAAGAGC
ensembl:lncRNA